CACGCCGUAAACGGUGGAUGCUGGAUGUGGGGCCCUUCCACGGGUCCCGUGUCGGAGCCAACGCGUUAAGCAUCCCGCCUGGGGAGUACGGCCGCAAGGCUAAAACUCAAAGAAAUUGACGGGGGCCCGCACAAGCGGCGGAGCAUGCGGAUUAAUUCGAUGCAACGCGAAGAACCUUACCUGGGCUUGACAUGUUCCCGACGACGGCAGAGAUGUCGUUUCCCUUCGGGGCGGGUUCACAGGUGG
rnacentral:rRNA from 1 species